UAGAAUAUUCUUUAUACUACACACUUAAAACCAUUUCUUGAGCUCGGCAUAAUAAAAUGCCGAAACUGAUCAGCAACACGUAAAUUUGCUGAUAGCUCAGUAAUCAAUACGCAUGUUUCUGAACUUCGUUAAAUGCUUUCACUGAUAUUUCGGUAAAAUGUUUCACUUUGCCGAAAUUUGGCAUAAUUGCUUGCUGAAUUUAUCAGUAAACAACAGAUAUGCCGACAUCAGCAGAGACGUUUGCCGAGAUUUCGGAAUAUGCGCUAGCUGUUGCCGAGAUUCAGCACGACAGCUGUCAUUUAUUGCCGCGUUACAUUUUCGCUUCGCAUUGCGCGAUUAUUUUCUGAAGAAAUUAUCUAGUGAAAAAAUGGAUAAUAUUUUAGAAACUGUUAGAAAGGAAGACGUAAGAAUCUACGAUCUAUUCAGAAAUUAACAUAAACACGGUGUUCUGCCAAACACAAUUAGGUAGGAGUUUGAUCGAACAAUUGUUGGAAGGAAAAAGCGCGAGCGAUAAAAUGAUUUCACAAAUCACUCACAUUUUGUGUGACUGCCUAUUGGCGAUAUACGGAGAGAGGCCUUCAACGUUUCAUAAAGAUAUGAUAGCUCGAUCGCUCGUAAACACAUUUCCCACCCUUGCAUCUACUGCCUCCGAUGUCCCACACG